rnacentral:misc_RNA from 1 species
UCCGGUUUGUCACCGGCAGUCUCAUUAGAGUGCUCAUCUGAAUGUAGCAACUAAUGACAAGGGUUGCGCUCGUUGCGGGACUUAACCCAACAUCUCACGACACGAGCUGACGACAGCCAUGCAGCACCUGUGUGCAGGUUCUCUUUCGAGCACUCCCGAAUCUCUCCGGGAUUCCUGCCAUGUCAAGGGUAGGUAAGGUUUUUCGCGUUGCAUCGAAUUAAUCCACAUCAUCCACCGCUUGUGCGGGUCCCCGUCAAUUCCUUUGAGUUUUAAUCUUGCGACCGUACUCCCCAGGCGGUCAACUUCACGCGUUAGCUGCGUUACCAAGUCAAUUAAGACCCGACAACUAGUUGACAUCGUUUAGGGCGUGGACUAC